rnacentral:rRNA from 1 species
CGUGUAGGCGGACUCACAAGUCGGUUGUGAAAUCCCUGGGCUCAACCUAGGAACUGCAUCCGAAACUGCUUGUCUUGAGUAAUGGAGAGGGUGGCGGAAUUCCCGGUGUAGAGGUGAAAUUCGUAGAUAUCGGGAGGAACAUCAGUGGCGAAGGCGGCCACCUGGACAUUUACUGACGCUGAGACGCGAAAGCGUGGGGAGCAAACAGGAUUAGAUACCCUGGUAGUCC